GACGAACGCUGGCGACGUGCUAACACAUGCAAGUCGAACGGUAAGGCCCUUCGGGGUACACGAGUGGCGAACGGGUGAGUAACACGUGGGUGAUCUGCCCUGCACUUCGGGAUAAGCCUGGGUAACUGGGUCUAAUACCGGAUAGGACCACUGCCUGCAUGGGUGGUGGUGGAAAGCUUUUGCGGUGUGGGAUGGGCCCGCGGCCUAUCAGCUUGUUGGUGGGGUGAUGGCCUACCAAGGCGGCGACGGGUAGCCGGCCUGAGAGGGUGACCGGCAGCACUGGGACUGAGAUCCGGCCCAGGCCCCUACGGGAGGCAGCAUUGGGGAAUAUUGGACAAUGGGCGCAAGCCUGAUGCAGCGACGCCGCGUGAGGGAUGACGGCCUUCGGGUUGUAAACCUCUUUCAGCACCGACGAAGCGCAAGUGACGGUAGGUGCAGAAGAAGGACCGGCCAACUACGUGCCAGCAGCCGCCGUAA
rnacentral:rRNA from 1 species